GCACUGAUAGUUCAGUGGUAGAAUUCUUGCCUUCCAUUUCUCAAGGGGGCACACCUGCGAUCAGCAAUGAUCGCGAUAGCAAGAGGCAGGGGUUCGAUUCCCCUUCAGUGCA
rnacentral:tRNA from 2 species